CGCCUUCCAUGAAGCUGGAAUUGCUAGUAAUGGCAGGUCAGCAUACUGCCGUGAAUACGUUCCCGGGCCCUUGUACACACCGCCCGUCACACCAUGAGAGUUGGAAAUACCCGAAGCCUGUGAGCUAACUUAAAGAGGCAGCAGUCGAAGGUAGAGCCAAUGAUUGGGGUGAAGUCGUAACAAGGUAUC
rnacentral:rRNA from 1 species